UGUUAAUAUUCUCUAGUCUAGUACACGACUAACAUCUCUGAUGCCAAAAUAGUGUUGUUGUGUAUUACCGCCGGCAGAUAAAAUGAAGCUUUGGUGUGUGUGUGUGUGUGUUAUAUCAGCAGGAGAAGCUACAGAACAAGCACGCGGUGGAAAAGACGAGACCCGUCCAAUUAUCGGAGAGGUGUGAGGGGUCGUUCCCGGACCCAAUACCUGAGGAAGUCGUACAGGUUCGGGACUACAUGAGGUCGGUCUGCAGAGGCCCUCGUGAGCCUGGACACGUCUGCAGCCCCUGAAUGGCCUGUGAAUGGAGCCCCAUUUACACCCUCCCAAGCGUUGCAGCCCAUAUUGUUUGC